GACUGGCUUAGCACGAGACUACGCGCUUUCAAGCAAUCAUGAAGUCAAGCAAUCAUGAAGCAUCAUUGUUUCACUGUGUUUAAGGCUCACAGAUGCAAUUAUAUCUGAUUAAAUUGUUAGACUAGUUUCUACAUGUAGGCCUGAAGCUGCUUCUUGAAUAAAGCAUUUUGCUAGUCGGUAAUAUACAUGAAUAAUAUAGGACGAUGUGGAAUCAUUAUCAGAAAGCCAUUGGAUGUUUCUUAACGAGUUUAAAGUAUGCUCCUAACUCAAACAGACAUAGGCCGAGAAGUCUGAUAUCACAUAACUGAAGGACCGACUAUUUCUGGGUGUGUAUGGAAACAAGGCCAAACUUUACUUAAACUCCCCCAAACAAUACAAAAGGUCUGGGAUUUGAUUUCAGUGCUAGGUUUAAUAAGUAAAUUCUUGAAAGCACUUUUAAAUAUUGAUCCACGAGCUAACGAUAUGCAACAAAGAUGUCUUUGAGCACGAUGAUUAUGACGUCAAUUUUGUUACUGGACUGUGUCUGAAAGGCGAUUUUGAGAAGCCGUUGUCUUUUCAUCACGCAAAGAAGGGAAUGAGGGUACGAAGAAGGGGAACAGAAUGACAUGUUAAGGCCUUGCUACGGCUAAGAGGAAAAGAACAGGAAAUUGCAAAAGCCGUCGAGGUACUAAAGCAAGGCAAAGCAGUGUGUGCAAAAUGUUGGCAACGCGAUUGUUUUUGGUGGUGUUUGUGUGUGGAUUGCUCGCAACCGAGGUGUUUGUGCCAGUCAAUGCAAACCUCGCUACAGUGCAAGCAUCGUGGAAGGCUUUUCUGAAACGUUUGAAACAAAAGCGAAGGUCAGCCAUACAAAGUCUUGUAAGCGUCAAAAGACUUGGAAAGAGAAUCAUAACUGGGGACCGAAGACUUGAUUGUGUCAGGUACGAUCAUAGAGGAAGAUGCACACGAUAUCGAAUGAUGUUUCUUUGGGGUUGAAGCGCCGCUGAAUUUCAGUUGUAGUUGAUACGUGAAAGACAAAGCAAUGGGCCUAAAUCAUAACAUCGAAAGGAGUGCCAGACUUUGUGUUGCAAAAUUUAGAGUUUUAUGUCUGCAAAACCUUCGCAACCGCUAAUUAUCAAGUUUUAAAGCGGGUAGUGUUUUAAAGUUUAGAUGCAAUGAGGCUUUUGCUGUUUUUGCAUCUUGACACUGUUAUCCAUACUAACAAAAGAUUAAGAAGGCAGUCUUAGAAUUACAUAUGUGUAAGUUGCAAAUCGCUGCAUCAAGGUAUUGCUAAGAAUUAUGCUAUAAUACGCUGGUAUAUGAUAAGUUGGUGUUGAUUUAACUACAGUCCUAAACAAAUGAGACGAACAAAGACAAAUGCUUCCAAUUUUUGGUGUAUGUAGUAUAUUUGUAGAGGGCGAUGCGUUUCAAAGUUGUUGCAUGCGCAAAAAGUAAAGCAUUAACAUUACUGUAAAAUACAGCUUAUACAAUUGUGUAGUAUCAUUUCAAUAUUUGCAGAAUGUAAGUAACCUUGUAGUUUAAAUACUAAUAUUGUUUACGUUAACAAUGAUUUCUAUAUUAAGUUAAAACACUUUAUUCUUCAUUUGAUAUAUUCUGAAGGAACAAUACAAUAUUUAUUGGGAUGAAUCUUCUCCGGAGAAAGGGUAACAGGAUUAAUGUAGAAAUCCAUUUGACAUUUUAGAGUGUAAAAUAGUAAGGAAAUUCACUGACGUUUACGUAGAUGAGAGACGAGUUAGCUUCAUUAUGUGCAAAUGCUGAUUGAGCCUUACUUACAAAGUUAAUCAUGAAAUUUGCAAAACGGGCGACUCUUUUUGCUAAACAGGUCUAUUUAUAGCAUAAGGUUUCAGUCAUUCUUGUUUUAACAUCAACAGCAAACCAGUUCUAGCCACAAUUGAUAAAAAACCAUGCUCGUAUCAGGACCACACAAGUCCUGUGGCCCGUUCGUCAUGUCGGCAAAGUUAAUAUUUAACCACCCAGCAGUGAUUUCUAAGGAACGUUUUUCCCUAGAUUCUUCACUGUCAUUUAAUCAUAGCCACAACUACAAUUCAGAUAUACAUAUAUAGAAGGACAUGGGCACUGCCAUGUUGUUUGUACCAAGGGAC